GGCCUAACACAGCAAGUCGAGCGGGGACUUCGGUCCUAGCGGCGGACGGGUGAGUAAUACUUGGGAAUCUGCCUAGUAGUGGGGGACAACGUUUCGAAAGGAACGCUAAUACCGCAUACGCCCUACGGGGGAAAGGGGGGGAUCUUCGGACCUCUCGCUAUUAGAUGAGCCCAAGUCGGAUUAGCUAGUUGGUGGGGUAAAGGCCUACCAAGGCGACGAUCCGUAACUGGUCUGAGAGGAUGAUCAGUCACACUGGAACUGAGACACGGUCCAGACUCCUACGGGAGGCAGCAGUGGGGAAUAUUGGACAAUGGGGGAAACCCUGAUCCAGCCAUGCCGCGUGUGUGAAGAAGGCCUUCGGGUUGUAAAGCACUUUAAGCGAGGAGGAAGGGUUCUUAAUUAAUACUUGAGAGCAUUGACGUUACUCGCAGAAUAAGCACCGGCUAACUCUGUGCCAGCAGCCGCGGUAAUACAGAGGGUGCAAGCGUUAAUCGGAAUUACUGGGCGUAAAGCGCGCGUAGGCGGUUGUAUAAGUUGGAUGUGAAAUCCCCGGGCUUAACCUGGGCACUGCAUUCAAAAACUGUACGGCUAGAGUGUAGGAGAGGAAGGUAGAAUUCCAGGUGUAGCGGUGAAAUGCGUAGAGAUCUGGAGGAAUACCGAUGGCGAAGGCAGCCUUCUGGCCUAACACUGACGCUGAGGUGCGAAAGCAUGGGGAGCAAACAGGAUUAGAUACCCUGGUAGUCCAUGCCGUAAACGAUGUCUACUAGCCGUUGGGGGACUUGAUCCUUUAGUGGCGCAGCUAACGCAUUAAGUAGACCGCCUGGGGAGUACGGUCGCAAGACUAAAACUCAAAUGAAUUGACGGGGGCCCGCACAAGCGGUGGAGCAUGUGGUUUAAUUCGAUGCAACGCGAAGAACCUUACCUGGCCUUGACAUGUCUGGAAUCCUGUAGAGAUACGGGAGUGCCUUCGGGAAUCAGAACACAGGUGCUGCAUGGCUGUCGUCAGCUCGUGUCGUGAGAUGUUGGGUUAAGUCCCGCAACGAGCGCAACCCUUGUCCUUAGUUGCCAGCACGUAAUGGUGGGAACUCUAGGGAGACUGCCGGUGACAAACCGGAGGAAGGCGGGGACGACGUCAAGUCAUCAUGGCCCUUACGGCCAGGGCUACACACGUGCUACAAUGGUCGGUACAGAGGGUUGCUAGCCCGCGAGGGUACGCUAAUCUCACAAAGCCGAUCGUAGUCCGGAUUGGAGUCUGCAACUCGACUCCAUGAAGUCGGAAUCGCUAGUAAUCGCGGAUCAGAAUGCCGCGGUGAAUACGUUCCCGGGCCUUGUAC
rnacentral:rRNA from 1 species